AUUCCUAGAUAGCUAACUUCCCCUCCCUAUGUGAAAACCUCGAAACAAAUUCCCUAUAAAAAGAAAGGGAAAAAACCCUGUCUUUCUACAUCCUAGUCCGUAGCAUAGGGAGAGGAAGAAAUUAAAGACAAGGAGCUAGAUGCAGUGAACUGAAUGUUGAGUGCACAUUAAAGGUUCAACAUCGAAGCACUAGAUUUUUCCAAACUCGCGAACUCAUUGUUAGAUCUGCCACUGGCGUAUGAUUGUAAGUGUAAAAAGAAAGGAGGCAAGUGGGAGAUGUUGACAGAAGAUAGAGAGCACAGAUGAUGAUAAGAUGCUAACUGGAAGCUUUCUGCAUCUUAAUCAUUUGUGCUCUCUAGUCUUCUGUCAUCAUCCUCAGCCCCUCCCUAGCUUUAAUUUGUUGUUUUAAAUGUAUUUAUAUUGUUUGCAGAUUUCCUCCUUUUUGUUCAAAAUAAUGGGAGUUAUAUUAAUUGUUGUUAAGUGUAAUUUAAUUGACCAUGAAAUUCAACCUACUAAUUAAAAGGUUUUUGAAUGGACUUGUUACUUAAUUGGGAUAUCAAAUUCCAAUCAUAGAAUACUGCUCACCUAAACGCUUUUGGUUUUUGUUUUGAGUGAGUCAAUGUUUAACUUGCCUGUUGGUUGAAAGACAUGAGAUUUUGUGAAAAGUAUAUCAAAUGAUUGUCCAAAUUAAGUCACAUAUAUUUGAUAAGGUAUUUUUAGCUAGUAGAGAUCGACAUCCUUAAUUAGGGAGACAUGUUUCUUGAUUAAAUAUAAUGACACAUGCAUCUAAUCAUAUGCAAAAAUAUGUCCAUUCAUGAAAGGCAUGUUGGUGAUUGUUCAAUACCUAUAUAUGCCUAUUUUUGCUUACAAGAAGCUUAGUUUUAUCCUUUGAUUGAUCUUUAACUCUCUUUCCAAAUAUCAUUUAUCUUUAUUCUAAGUUUCUUUAAAAGUAGCUUAGAGAUUAAAGAGUUUCCGAAUUUCUAUUUGAUUCUAUCAUUGCAGUAGGACGUCAUAUUAAAAGUUGCAGUAAAUUAGCAGUGGAAUUUCACUCUAAAGGCAACGAUCAUGUAAUUGGUGUUUCUUACCCAAAUUCUAAUCUUCUACUAUUCUAUAUUGUUGCCCCUCGUGUAUUGGCUAAGUAUUAUUAUUAUUAUCAGUAUUUCCAACCCUAAUUUUCCAGGAAUUAUACUAUGUUCUAAUGAUUAAUUCUCACUUGAUUUGUUGGUCAUGACCAUGUAGCUAAUCAAAUGUUAAUUACUUGACAUUAAUUCCUACUUCAAAGCCAUAUCUUACUCCCGGUGUGUUAUAUUUGGGGUGAUUAACUAACUGGCGACCUUGUAUCUCAAGCAGGAAAAAGAGCAAGACUAAUCUUGUAUUGUGGUUAUGCUUGUUCAAAUGGUAGGGUUUGCAUGAAUUCUUCUUCUUGGUUGUUUUCUUUUUCCCUAUAGAUGCAGUUGUUGAGGCUUCACUUACUAAUUAAAUAUCAGAGAAGAGAAAUUCAUGGUAUUGAGCCGUGGAAUCAGCCACUGAUACUUGUAUCAGGAUAGACUGCCUACAUCACACCCUUCGAGGUGCUGCCCUUCCCCAACCAUACAUGAAUACGAAAUAUGAACUCACUUCUUGUGGCAGUAGUACCACAUCCAAUUAACCAAUUAACCCGAAGAAGAAAAAGAAGGAGCAGAAGAAAACGAAGGAGGAGAAAGAGGCCUAGAGUUGUUUAAAAGUAGGUACAAAUUAAAACUUUUUUAAAAAGUAGGUAUAUGUUAAAUGAGGGCGAUCAAAUAAGACGCCCUGUGCAAUUUUUACCUUUUCAAUGUUGAAAUGUAGUUUCUGGAGAUUACCUCGUAUUCACGUAAUGCCUAUCGAAUUUUCAUUGUCCAAGGUGCAUGCAGAAGAUUGAUAACAAACUCAACAAGCUAUGU